UAAGCAUCACACUACUUAAUAACUUCUCUUUCUUCUAAUCAAAAUCAAUUUUUGAUUUUCAAUUAUCAUGUUCAACAUUUUCAAGAUGAGGAUUAUCCCCUUUGCCCUCUUGCUCCUUCUACUUAUUUCAGUUGAAUGUAGUGGGCAAGCAUUAGGAGUGGAGAGAGCAAAUGCAGUGAGGAUACCAGAACACACAUGCCAUAAAUUUGUAAGGAUGAAAAUUUGCAACUUAAAAAGAUGCAAUCAAAAAUGUGCUAAACAAUCCUUUGGUGUUGGAGAAUGCAAAAAUACUAGAAUUUGUUAUUGCGCUUAUUAUUGUAAACAGCCUCCAAUUUAGCACUCUCCUCCUUUCUUUUUUUUGGGUUUAAUAUGGUCUUACAACAUUUGAUAUUUGUUGCACGAAAACUUAUUAAAAUCUAUAUUUUGGCAUUUCGUUCCUAUUUUAAAAAUGUUUGUAAAACUUGUAAUAUAUUGUUUUCGUUAUUUUCUGUUUU